UGUAAAACUUAUUUUUUUCCUCUUCCUUUUUUAAUUACAAAGUAAAAGAAUUUUCUGGGAAGAAUGCUCAGUCACUCUCUCCAUGAUCUUGUGCUCAUCUCUAGCAAUGCUGGCAGCUAAGGAAUAUUCAGUCAUUCAUAAGAUCCUAUGGUCAUUUUUCUAUACCUCAACAACCAUUUUUCUUCCUUGGAAUCCUUUCACUUUUGGGAAAAGUGAAUCUCUAUUUCGUUGACGAUCUGCCCCUACUUUUGUCUCCUUUAAUCAUCUUCGGCAUUUCCAAUCGUCUACGGUGUUUCUGAAGUCAUUUUUUGGCUCUGUCUUAUCGUCUACUACUCUGUUCUUACAAAAGAAGCCUCAGUUAUGCUUUUCCCCUUUCCCUCUUCAGCACCCCAAAGACGAACAACCAAAACCACAUCUCCUCCAUGAAAUUGAUGUUUCUCCUUACCACUCCAUAGACAGCUCGCUGAAGUUCUUUUCCUGAGACACACACAAGCAUGCACUCAAACCUCUCGGCUUCUCCUCAUCAAUCCUCGAACAGUUUAGACUUCAGAUCUUUGGAUGGUUGCCAAAUGCAUCUUGAUUUGUUUGUAUACCUGUGUGUAGUAACUAUAGCAUGGACGAGGAAUCUAAAGGUGUUUGUGGAGUUGGUUGUACAAAGAGUGUAUUUCACUAACUUUGUAUACAUUUCUUGUUUUGCAUUUGGUGAUGAUGGAAUUUUAGUUGAGUAUAAAUUAUCUUGUAAUAUGAUUUUGUAAGCUUAGACUAGUAGACUAAAUACUGUAAUUACAUUUGAGUAACUAAUAAAAAUUUAUUUAUGUUACC